rnacentral:tRNA from 1 species
GUAGACAUAGUUUAAGUAAAAUAUUAGAUUGUGAUUCUAAAGAUAGGGGUUAGACCCCCGUUGUCCACC